rnacentral:rRNA from 1 species
GACGAACGCUGGCGGCGUGCUUAACACAUGCAAGUCGAACGGAAAGGCCCUGCUUUUGUGGGGUGCUCGAGUGGCGAACGGGUGAGUAACACGUGAGUAACCUGCCCUUGACUUUGGGAUAACUUCAGGAAAAUGGGGCUAAUACCGGAUAGGAGCUCCUGCUGCAUGGUGUGGGUUGGAAAGUUUCGGCGGUUGGGGAUGGACUCGCGGCUUAUCAGCUUGUUGGUGGGGUAGUGGCAUACCAAGGCUUUGACGGGUAGCCGGCCUGGGAGGGUGACCGGCCACAUUGGGACUGAGAUACGGCCCAGACGCCUACGGGAGGCAGCAGUGGGGAAUAUUGCACAAUGGGCGGAAGCCUGAUGCAGCAACGCCGCGUGCGGGAUGACGGCCUUCGGGUUGUAAACCGCUGUCGCCUGUGACGAAGCGUGAGUGACGGUAAUGGGUAAAGAAGCACCGGCUAACUACGUG